AGCAGCCGCGGUAAUUCCAGCUCCAAUAGCGUAUAUUAAAGUUGCUGCAGUUAAAAAGCUCGUAGUUGAAUUUCGGGACCAUCAUGUCGGUCGUGCCUCGGUACGUACUGGCAUUGUUGGUUUCUCCCUUCUGACGAACCAUGAUGUCAUUUAUUUGGUGUCGUGGGAAAUCAGGACUGUUACUUUGAAAAAAUUAGAGUGUUUAAGGCAGGCUCACGCUUGAAUACAUUAGCAUGGAAUAAUGAAAUAGGACGUUUGAUUCUAUUUUGUUGGUUUCUAGGAUCGACGUAAUGAUUAAUAGGGAUAGUUGGGGGCAUUAGUAUUCAAUUGUCAGAGGUGAAAUUCUUGGAUUUAUUGAAGACUAACUACUGCGAAAGCAUUUGCCAAGGAUGUUUUCAUUAAUCAAGAACGAAAGUUAGGGGAUCGAAGACGAUCAGAUACCGUCGUAGUCUUAACCAUAAACUAUGCCGACUAGGGAUCGGAUGAUGUUAAUUUUUAAUGUACUCAUUC
rnacentral:rRNA from 1 species